UACAGGGGGGGCAAGCGUUGUCCGGAAUUACUGGGCGUACAGCGCGCGCAGGCGGUCCACUACGUGCCGUGUGACAGACGUCGGCUUAACCGACGUAGGCCAGGGUACACGGGUGAACUUGAGGCAGAGAGAGGGAUGUGGAAUACCCGGUGGAGCGGUGAAAUGCGUAGAGAUCGGGUGGACCACCAGGGGCGAAGGCGGCAUCCUGGCUCUGUACUGACGCUGAGGCGCGAGAGCGUGGGGAGCAAACCGG
rnacentral:rRNA from 1 species